UCAAGCUACAAAGAGCACAAGGGGAAUGCCUUGGCACCAGGAGCCGAAGAAGGACGCAGCUAACUGCGAAAAGCCACGGGGAGCCGUAAGCAGGCGCUAUAUCCGUGGGUAUCCGAAUGGAGCAAUCCGGCUGGAGUCAUGUCCAGUCAUCCUAUACUGAAUUCAUAGGUAUAGGAGGGGAACCGCCUGAACUGAAACAUCUAAGUAGGGCGAGGAAAAGAAAUCAACCGAGAUUCCGCUAGUAGUGGCGAGCGAACGCGGAAGAGGCCAAACCGGAGGUAGUAAUACCACCGGGGUUUGGACAGCAUAAGGUACGCAAGCGCUUAGGAGAAAGGUAUGGGAAGGCCUGCCAAAGAAGGUGAGAGCCCUGUAUCCGAAAAGCGUAAGCGGCUGGCUGUAUCCAGAGUACCGCGGGACACGUGAAACCCCGUGGGAAGAUGGGGGGACCAUCCUCCAAGCCUAAAUACUACCUGGUGACCGAUAGAGAACAGUACUGUGAAGGAAAGGUGAAAAGCACCCCGGGAGGGGAGUGAAAAAGAACCUGAAACCUUGUGCUUACAAGCACCGAGAGCCCGUCUAAGGGUGAUCGGGUACCUUUUGUAGAAUGGUCCGGCGAGUGAAUGUAUCUGGCAAGGUUAAGCACUUCAGGUGCGCAGCCGUAGCGAAAGCGAGUCUUAACUGGGCGCAUAAAGUCAGAUGUAUUCGACCCGAAACCGGGUGACCUACCCAUGUCCAGGUUGAAGUGGAGGUAAAACUCCAUGGAGGACCGAACCGACUCCCGUUGAAAUGGUAGCGGAUGAGGUGUGGGUAGCGGAGAAAUUCCAAUCGAACCCGGAGAUAGCUGGUUCUCUCCGAAAUAGCUUUAGGGCUAGCCUCGAAAUAGAUUACCGGAGGUAAAGCACUGAAUAGGCUAGGGGCCGAGAGGUUACUGAACCUUAUCAAACUAAGAAUGCCGGAUAAUCGUUUUUCGGGAGUCAGACAGUGGGAGAUAAGUUUCAUUGUCGAAAGGGAAACAGCCCAGACCCACAGCUAAGGUCCCCAAGUAUCAUUAAGUGGAAAAGGAUGUGGGGUUGCCCAGACAACCAGGAUGUUGGCUCAGAAGCAGCCAUACAUUAAAAGAGUGCGUAAUAGCUCACUGGUCGAGUGACCCUGCGCCGAAAAUUUAACGGGGCUAAAUGAUACACCGAAGCUUGGGAUGACGCAAGUCAUGGUAGGAGAGCGUUCUGUAAGGGGAGAAGUCGUAGCGAAAGCGGCGGUGGACUUUACAGAAGUGAGAAUGCCGGAAUGAGUAGCGAGAAAUAUGUGAGAAUCAUAUUGGCCGAAAGUCUAAGGUUUUUGGAGGAAGGUUCGUCCGCUCCAAGUAAGUCGGGAGCUAAGGCGAGGCCGAAAGGCGUAGUCGAUGCACAUACGGUUGAUAUUCCGUAACCGCUGAAAGAUUUAAACAAAGGGACACCUUGAAAGGGCAUAACCCCGGGGUUGGUACACCGGGGCGUAAGGGACCGAAAUUUAAGUAGGGAAGUAUGCAUGGACGAGGGCGAGAAAAGCUUUGCGAAUAUCUGAGGCGCCCGUACCGCAAACCGACACAGGUGGACAGGAAGAGAAUUCUAAGGCCAACGGGAGAAAGGUAGUUAAGGAACUCGGCAAAUUGACCCCGUAACUUAGGGAAAAGGGGUGCUCACUAAGGUGAGCCGCAGAGAAUAGGCCCAGGCGACUGUUUAGCAAAAACACAGGUCUCUGCCAAAUCGAAAGAUGAAGUAUAGGGGCUGACACCUGCCCGGUGCCGGAAGGUUAAGAGGAGGAGUGCAAGCUCUGAAUUGAAGCCCCGGUAAACGGCGGCCGUAACUAUAACGGUCCUAAGGUAGCGAAAUUCCUUGUCGGGU
rnacentral:rRNA from 1 species